UAGUGUUUUGUCUCCAAGUACAUGCAUUACACAGCCCUUCUUUUUCCACAGUUUCUUUCUGCUCGGUGUUUUCAUUUAGAUCCACUGGACCAGCAACAAUCAGCAUAAACAGUAAUGCCAAGCAAAAUUUUAAUGCCUGUGCAGGCUGAGAGACAACUCGCCACACCAGUGAAUCUUUUAUACUGUAUUCCAAGUGGCUUUUUAUAUUCCAACUUUGAUGAGACAAGUGUCGUCAGGAUCUACGAUUGGCUCUUGCUCCACAAUGAAUCUCGCUGUCAGAGGUUAAAACCCUGUCUGUCACAAGUCACCAAACAGUAUUUUGUUACAGUCAAGGGAGCAGUGGUGCAUAAUCAUUCAUUCAGUGUUGGCAGUGACUACAGAACACAGCUACUGUGAAUAAUGAGAAUCAGCUACAUCUAAUCAACUUCUGUAAAGAUCAACUUGCACAAACUCUUAAAGAUAUUUGUAGAGCUUAUAAUGUUGAAAAGUUGGAAAUAAUCUACAUGUCUGACAAACAGAAGUAAAUCCAAUAAAUUGCAAUAUCCCCAGCUUAUAGGUCCUGUCAGAAGAUGAUUACCAGGUAAUAUCGACAUCCUGAGAACACCAGGUCGCGAAGUAGGUGCUAGUGGAAGCAUGUUGGGCACUUCCUGGG